rnacentral:misc_RNA from 1 species
GGGGACUUGAGGUUCAUUGAGGUCAAUCAUUGUCCUAGUUUUAGGUUCUGCAACAGGAAGCUUCAAGACAUGUCCAUCAGGAGAAGCACAUUCGGCACUUUGAGAAGGACUGCUCUUUGAUGAGUUGCUUGAUGACACUUUAUCCUCAGACAAAGCUAUCGGAAUGCUGUUCGGCGAUAGGUCAUUGCUGCUAGAGGUGUGGCGCAUCUCUUGUUCCUUUACUGGAACCAUAUCACUUCCACGGCUACAAGCCGUUAGUCUCCUACGCCGCUUGGCAAUGGGAGCUACAAAGUCCG